CUAACAAAUAUCUGAACUAUUUGUGUUUGAAAAUGCCAGAGAGCAACCUUCGCGGCCCUCGCACGCCUCUGACAUUCGCAUGCAAAUCAGCAGCCAGCGACAGUCAAAACAUGCAAGGAAUUCGCAUGCAAAUUCAUUUAUGAAGCCCACGACAGCCCAUAUGCUGAGCUAGAGUCUAGGCAUAGAUCGCGAUCGUAGAUCCACAUAACCUCAGAAAUUACAAUUAAUUAACUGAAAGUUCCAUCUAUUUGACUUUUAUGGGAGAAUAAAUAUUUAUGAUUUUGAUAAAAUGAUCAAGUGCAAAAUAUUCAAAACUCAGAUGAAGACUUCAGUUUAACGUGUAUCGGCUGUCAGUCGGCUCCACUCGCAACGCGUUGUUGCCCCUUCAACACCACCCGCUAUGCCAAUCAGUUACAUGCUGACUGACGUACAGGGUAUACAGGGCCUACACACGAAACCCGCAGCACAAACGGUCGUCAGAUUUUAUAAAAAUAGAUCUUGGCUUUUAGGAGAGACCAUUUUGCAAAACACUUUUGUGAGA